rnacentral:tRNA from 1 species
GCCGGGGUGGCUCAGCUGGUUAGAGCGCACGGCUCAUAACCGUGAGGCCACGGGUUCGAGUCCCGUUCCCGGCA